rnacentral:lncRNA from 1 species
CCCAAGAGCAGACCGCAGGCAAGAUACCAUUCAUUGGCCUCGCUGCCUGUGCCCGCGGAUUCCGCACGUGGCCACACCUCUUCUAUACAAGGCAAGGUGGCGUGCCUACAUCCAUGCCAUCCUGUUGUUAUCCAUGGAUGAACAACUCAGAAUUUGGAGAAAUGGAUUUGGGGAAAUCUCUGAGACACAUUUUGAAACCAGCGAGGAAUUAGGCUGCAAGCGGCAGCAGCAGUAACAGUGACAGCAGCAAGAAACAGCCACCUGCAUCUCAAGAGUGGCACAGGGCUUCCACUGGCUGAGGCGGACACAUGGCGGAUGUGUAAGAAGCGUGCAGAAAGUGGUCAGUCGUGUGUGCACACACGAAUACAUGCUCAGUGUCAGGCCAAGGCCCUGUGGGCCUAAGGAAAACAAUGUCACGUUUCAACAUGAUUUGGGAAACCCUACUCUCCACUGAAAUCUCAUAUUGGCAGCAGAAAACUCUGCCGAUGCCUCAGAAGCCAAAGAUAACUAAAUUGUGUUUCUUUUAGUUCUUGCAUAGGGGCAAGCCCACUUCACAUUUCAUGAUACACCAACUCCUAGAGAGCUCCUUUGGGGCCCUAUUUAAUUUACUUAACUUUUGUUGGCAAUGGAAAGUGGGCCUGCCACAUUUGAUGACUAGAGCAGGUCCAUCCCAGUCACCUGCCUUCCCAAAAGUGCAUUGGAGAGUGGAACAGAAACCACAACCCACUGUCUCGGACAGGCGUCAGCAUUGUAAAAUACACUCUGGCACCCAGCCCUGGCAGAAUAGUGGUCUACAGAGGCAAAACUUCAGAUUUUUACUAUACCCAAGGCAUAAUGAACUUUAUCGAGGGUAAAUAUUGCCCAGCCUUCUUUCAUGUAGGAACCAAGAAAACUAGACCCAACAGUUUUGCCUUUCCUUCCUUCUCUGUACAUGUUCUUCCUAGUUGUACUGGAUUUUGCUAAUAUCAUAAGCACAGCUGUGAUACAGCCAGGUCUUUAUGCAUGGAUUUUACUCUUUGAGCAGCUUGAAGACAAUUCUGUCUCGCUCUCUCUGGGUUCUCACGAGCACAGAGCUGUAACCAUAAUAAGCUCUCAAUAAAGGUUGAAUAGAGGCCACAGAGAUCUUCAGGCCAGAAGUCAGAGGUCAUUCCUUGAGGACGUGUUAGUGACAGUGUCCUGUACAGUGGCUAGGCAGAGAAAGACUGCUGAGAACAGACAGACCUGGCUUUCAUUAGUUAAGAGAUGGACAGAGGAAGGAGCUCCAUCCACUCACAAAGACAGUGGCCUCCAUAUCCCGAGAGGGGAGUCAGGAGCAUGACAUGUUCUACACAACUACAGUCUUCAUCAUAAUCCCAAAGGCAGCCAUAACCAUGGGUAAUUGGGAUAAUAUUUAGAAAAUAUUUGCAUGCCAAAACUGACAUUUUUAGAGGCCAUGGAGAAACAGGUUUCCAAUGUCAAGUUUUGUUGAAAGAGGACACACAUUAUUCUAGAUUCUGAAAGUUCCCUUCAUCUUCAAAGAGCUAGGCCUUGCCAGUGUGACUGUGGAGCUUGCUAUAAGCCUGAAUAAAGAGAAGACAGAGGACAUCAAGUUAGGGAAACCCCACCCAACAGGAAGGAGACACUCUUCUGGCCAAGAGGCAAGUUGGGGAGGGAGGGAUGCAGAGAGAAGAGAAGAUGAGAGAAGUUAAGGCUGAGCUAGUAUCUGAGAAUACCUCACAUGUGCCCCACAGCCUGCCUCUUCCUCUGCUACACUGUGGCCAGAAAGGGGUCUCAGUGUUCUACGUGCCCCCAGAGGGUGUAGCUGCGAGCCAGACUGCUGAGAGGUCACCUUUGCAGAGCCUAGAGACAGAUGACAGACAAAGCUGAGAUUUAGAGAUCUUUGGGGCCAGGAAGAUCUGAGCAGUGGAGGUCCCAAAGCACCAGCAGAGACAGCUAGACCUAGUGGCCCCAGAAUUGGAUGCUCAAAGACAUGAUCAGGCCAGGCCCAGCUCAAUCAGCACCUGCUAUGUCUCAAAGGCAGGAUGAGUUCAGAGGCACCACUCCACACUGUGAGAAUCCAUAAUUGUUUCCCUCUUCCAGCUGCCAACCUGGGACAUAGAGAGUGAAGAGACAUCCUUUGAGAAGGAAAUCUUAAUUUUUAUUUAACUGUGUAUUUACCCAAAAGAAAGUGAGUUAGACCAAAAGAGUCUAAGUUGCUUUCAAUGGGCAAGUUUAAGGUUCUCCCUCCUUCCUCUGCCAUCAACAGGAAAUGAUGAGAUCCAUAUAGAGAAUAUUUAAAAGGAAAUAAAUUAUCAUUUUCUGCC